AUUGAACGCUGGCGGCAGGCUUAACACAUGCAAGUCGAGCGGGGUGAUGGUGCUUGCACUAUCACUUAGCGGCGGACGGGUGAGUAAUGCUUAGGAAUCUGCCUAUUAGUGGGGGACAACAUCUCGAAAGGGAUGCUAAUACCGCAUACGUCCUACGAAAGAAAGCAGGGGAUCACUUGUGACCUUGCGCUAAUAGAUGAGCCUAAGUCGGAUUAGCUAGUUGGUGGGGUGAAGGCCUACCAAGGCGACGAUCUGUAGCGGGUCUGAGAGGAUGAUCCGCCACACUGGGACUGAGACACGGCCCAGACUCCUACGGGAGGCAGCAGUGGGGAAUAUUGGACAAUGGGGGGAACCCUGAUCCAGCCAUGCCGCGUGUGUGAAGAAGGCCUUAUGGUUGUAAAGCACUUUAAGCGAGGAGGAGGCUCUUUUGGUUAAUACCCAAGAUGAGUGGACGUUACUCGCAGAAUAAGCACCGGCUAACUCUGUGCCAGCCGCCGCGGUAA
rnacentral:rRNA from 1 species